rnacentral:rRNA from 1 species
GACGGAGGGGGCAAGCGUUGUCCGGAAUUAUUGGGCGUAAAGCGCGCGCAGGCGGUGAUUUAAGUUUGGUGUUUAAGCCCGAGGCUCAACCUCGGUUCGCAUCGAAAACUGGGUCACUUGAGUGUAGGAGAGGAAAGUGGAAUUCCACGUGUAGCGGUGAAAUGCGUAGAGAUGUGGAGGAACACCAGUGGCGAAGGCGACUUUCUGGCCUAUAACUGACGCUGAGGCGCGAAAGCGUGGGGAGCAAACAGG